rnacentral:tRNA from 1 species
GGAGUAGCUCAGUUGGUUAGAGCGCCGGCCUGUCACGCCGGAGGUCGCGGGUUCGAGCCCCGUCGCCACUUCGCCA